GACGAACGCUGGCGGCGUGCUUAACACAUGCAAGUCGAACGGAAAGGCCCCUUUGGGGGUACUCGAGUGGCGAACGGGUGAGUAACACGUGAGUAACCUGCCCUGGACUUCGGGAUAACUUCAGGAAACUGGGGCUAAUACCGGAUAGGAAUCCUUGCUGCAUGGUGGGGGUUGGAAAGCUUCGGCGGUUUUGGAUGGACUCGCGGCUUAUCAGCUUGUUGGUGGGGUAGUGGCUUACCAAGGCUUUGACGGGUAGCCGGCCUGAGAGGGCGACCGGCCACAUUGGGACUGAGAUACGGCCCAGACUCCUACGGGAGGCAGCAGUGGGGAAUAUUGCACAAUGGGCGGAAGCCUGAUGCAGCAACGCCGCGUGCGGGAUGACGGCCUUCGGGUUGUAAACCGCUUUCAGCAGGGGCGAAGCUUGUGGUGACGGUACCUGCAGAAGAAGCACCGGCUAACUACGUG
rnacentral:rRNA from 1 species